GCUACGAAAUUCGUAUCAGCUACCCCGGAACGGUU
rnacentral:SRP_RNA from 1 species